UCGUCCGCAAUGGACGAAAGUCUGACGGAGCAACGCCGCGUGAGUGAUGAAGGCUUUCGGGUCGUAAAACUCUGUUGUUAGGGAAGAACAAGUGCUAGUUGAAUAAUCUGGCACCUUGACGGUACCUAGCCAGAAAGCCACUGCUAACUACGUUCCAGCAGCCGCGGUAAUACGUAGGUGGCAAGCGUUAUCCGGAAUUAUUGGGCGUAAAGCGAGCGCAGGUGGUUUCUUAAGUCUGAUGUGAAAGCCCACGGCUCAACCGUGGAGGGUCAUUGGAAACUGGGAGACUUGAGUGCAGAAGAGGAAAGUGGAAUUCCAUGUGUAGCGGUGAAAUGCGUAGAGAUAUGGAGGAACACCAGUGGUGAAGGCGACUUUCUGGUCUGUAACUGACACUGAUGCGCGAAAGCGUGGGGAGCAAACAGG
rnacentral:rRNA from 1 species